CUAGCGGUGCGCCUAACACAUGUAAGUCGUGCGAUCGAGCCGAACUGAGUCCCUUCGGGGAUGAUGAUUGGUGACGGAGCGGCGGACGUGUGAGUAACGCGUGGCUAACCUACCCUCUUGACGGGGACAACCACCCGAAAGGGCGGCUAAUACCCGAUGUUGUCUGGAACCGAUGGGUUCCUUUCCAAAGGCGGUCCUGCCGCCGCAAGGGGAUGGGGCUGCGUCCUAUUAGCUAGUUGGUGAGGUAACGGCCCACCAAGGCUUCGAUGGGUAGCUGGUCUGAGAGGACGACCAGCCACAUUGGGACUGAGAUACGGCCCAGACUCCUACGGGAGGCAGCAGUGGGGAAUCUUGGCCAAUGGACGAAAGUCUGAGCCAGCGACACCGCGUGGGGGAUGACGGCCUUCGGGUUGUAAACCUCUUUUCUGGGGAAAGAAUAAGGACGGGAGGAAAUGCCCGCCCGAUGACGGUACUCCAGGAAUAAGCAUCGGCUAACUCUGUGCCAGCAGCCGCGGUAAGACAGAGGAUGCGAGCGUUAUCCGGAAUUACUGGGCGUAAAGGCGUCUAGGCGGUUCGGUAAGUCGUUUGUGAAAUCCCUCGGCUCAACCGAGGAGGGUCUUGCGAUACUGCCGAGCUUGGGUGCAGGAGAGGAGGGUGGAACUCACAGAGUAGCGGUGGAAUGCGCAGAUACUGUGAGGUACCCCGAUGGCGAAGGCAACCCUCUGGCCUGCUACCGACGCUGAAGCGCGAAAGCGUGGGGAGCAAAGGGGAUUAGAUACCCCCGUAGUCCACGCCCUAAACAAUGUUCACUUGGUGUCGGCCGCUCAUACUGGUCGGUGCCGAAGCUAACGCGUUAAGUGAACCGCCUGAGGAGUACGGCCGCAAGGCUAAAACUCAAGAGAAUUGACGGGUCCCUGCACAAGCGGUGGAGCACUUGUUUUAAUUCGACGAUAAACGAAGAACCUCACCCAGGCUUGACAUACUAGUGGUAGGAACCUGAAAGGGGGACGACCCUGCCUUCGGGUAGGGAGCUAGUACAGGUGAUGCAUGGCUGUCGUCAGCUCGUGUCGUGGGAUGUUGGGUUCAGUCCCGAAACGAGCGCAACCCUUGUCGUUAGUUGCCAGCGGGUAAUGCCGGGGACUCUAACGAGACUGCUGGUGAAUACCGGAGGAAGGCGGGGAUGACGUCAAGUCAUCAUGUCCCUUACGCCUGGGGCGACACACAUGCUACAAUGGGGGGUACAGAGGGUCGCAAUCCCGUAAGGGGGAGCCAAUCCAUAAAAGCCCCUCUCAGUUCGGAUUGAGGUCUGCAACUCGACCUCAUGAAGGUGGAAUCGCUAGUAAUCGCGGGUCAGCCAUACCGCGGUGAAUAUGUACUCAGGGAUUGUACACACCGCCCGUCACACCAACCGAGUGGGGGGUACCUGAAGUCGCUCUUCUAAGGGCGCCUAAGGUAACUUCCGCAAGAGGGGUGAAGUCGUAACAAGGUA
rnacentral:rRNA from 1 species